rnacentral:rRNA from 1 species
GGAUCAGUUGGUCGGGCUUCACUGUCCGCACUGGCCUGAUGGAUUCCUACCUUCUGAACAACCAGCAUGCUAUUAAGUUAGUGCGUUGGGGAAGCAGAGCUAUUACCUUGAAAAAAUUAGAGUGCUUAAAGCAAGCUUGUGCUUGAAUAGAUUAGCAUGGAAUAAUAAAAUAGGACGGCAUGGUUCUAUUUUGUUGGUUUCUAGGAUCACCGUA